rnacentral:rRNA from 1 species
AUUGAACGCUGGCGGCAUGCCUUACACAUGCAAGUCGAACGGCAGCAUGAUCUAGCUUGCUCGAUUGAUGGCGAGUGGCGAACGGGUGAGUAAUACAUCGGAACGUUCCCUGUAGUGGGGGAUAACUAGUCGAAAGAUUAGCUAAUACCGCAUACGACCUGAGGGUGAAAGUGGGGGACCGCAAGGCCUCAUGCUAUAGGAGCGGCCGAUGUCUGAUUAGCUAGUUGGUGAGGUAAAGGCUCACCAAGGCGACGAUCAGUAGCUGGUCUGAGAGGACGAUCAGCCACACUGGGACUGAGACACGGCCCAGACUCCUACGGGAGGCAGCAGUGGGGAAUUUUGGACAAUGGGCGAAAGCCUGAUCCAGCAAUGCCGCGUGUGUGAAGAAGGCCUUCGGGUUGUAAAGCACUUUUGUCCGGAAAGAAAUGGCUCUGGUUAAUACCUGGGGUCGAUGACGGUACCGGAAGAAUAAGGACCGGCUAACUACGUG